UACGGAGGGGCUAGCGUUGUUCGGAAUUACUGGGCGUAAAGCGCACGUAGGCGGCUUUGUAAGUUAGAGGUGAAAUCCUGGAGCUCAACUCCAGAACUGCCUUUGAUACUGAGGAUCUUGAGUCCGGGAGAGGUGAGUGGAACUGCGAGUGUAGAGGUGAAAUUCGUAGAUAUUCGCAAGAACACCAGUGGCGAAGGCGGCUCACUGGCCCGGUACUGACGCUGAGGCACGAAAGCGUGGGGAGCAAACAGG
rnacentral:rRNA from 1 species